CAGUAACACUAAAAUCCUUCAAUAUAACAUUUACAUGCUAUAAAUCGUCCAAAUAUUCAAGCCAAAGUACAAACCAAAGGAAAAGAACUUAAACGAUUAGUACCAUAAUACAGUGUCGGCCAAAUACAAACUCAAGAUACCCUAAUACAGUGUCGGCCAAAUACAAACUCAAGAUACCCUAUUACAAACCAUUACUAUUCUUGUCUCUCUUAUCCCCGCACCCUGUUAAGGAAAACAAAUAACGAGAUGAAUUAAAAGCCUAGUGAGGUUCCAAGAAAACAACAAACCAUCUAUCAGGCUUUAUAAAAUUCACAUCAUGGCAUGAUCACAUAUUUCAUGAAGCAAGCAAUAUCCAGAUAAAUCAUUUAAUAAUAUAUAUUCAAUAACAUAUUCACGUAAAAGGAUACCAUUUGCUCUUGCGAGCCAAUUCAAUCUGCUCUUGCGAGCCAAUUUAGUAGCAACAGUAUGCUCUUGCAAGCCAAUUCAGUAGAAAUUUGUUUAGGAUCCGUUGACACUCUGUCAACCUUAGGAUAUAGUAACAAGCCCAAUAGAGUUCCACUUAUCUCUAAUUUCCAUCCACCGUUCAACCCUUUACUGGGCCUGAACUCCAAACAUAACAGUAGAAGUAAUACUCGAGUAUACCAAAUUCAAUGGAUCCAAUCCAGUGGAAUAACAGUAAACAGUACCCAUGGUUCGUCAUUCUCCUCGACCAAACCCUUAUUGGUUCGAUUUGACUAACUAGCUAGUGGGGUUUGGGAUCCCAAACGGUGAGUAUAGUCGAUAAGAUAACAUCUCCAACCAACUUACAAGUCAUACACAUGUAUAUCAGUUCACUUGCAAAUAGUUCAUUUAUAAAUAGGAUAUCAAGAGCUCAGUUAAAUUAGGUCGAGUGCGAUAAGAUAUACACUCGCCUAUUCAUUUGCAGUUCAAGCAUUUACAAUUCAAGACAUAUAGCGGUAUCAAUCAACUAGGCACAUUAAGCAUUAUUUAGUAAAGUCAGGUUGAGUGUGAUAAAGUACAUACUCGCCUACGCAAUAAUAAGCGAAUUCAAGCAACAAGUCAUACUUGAUCAACAAGUAGCAUGGAACAUGCAAUUGGAACACUUACCCAUAUAAUGAGAAUUUCACAUUCCAGUACCGGGCUCACGUUCUCGCCCACUUUCAAGUCCUAAAACCAAAAGAAUGUAUCAAAAGUGCACAAUUUCAAACUACCACAUUUGAGACAUGUCAACUUCCAAAAACUCAUUCAAAAGAUCACUAGAUUUUCGUGUUCAAACAAGGGAAAAAUCAUGUGCAAAUUAAUCAAUAGUUGUCAGUGGUAUAGGAGCAAAAGAGAUCGAUUAUGGCCAAGGGAUUUGAAGAACAUUGGACAAAAUUUCAUCCCUUCUCUCGGUUCCAAAACUAGAAAUGUACCAUCAAGAAAAGGAAUUCGAAAGGUGAGUUUAUUUCCACUUAAAACACUUGGUGUUUGCUUAAUAAAUCACACAUAUAUGUGAAAGUAAACUCUUAUACAAUAUAUAGAAAAAAUUUGUCCAAGGUCACCACGAAAUUUUGAAAAUAGACACGAAAAUCCUUUCUUUCUCUCCCUCGGCCAAACACAAUUCCUAGCAAACACUUUCAAAACUUUUGUCAAGAUCCAGCUUUUCACUUGUUCAAAAUACCAAAAUCAUAAUAUCUUUCACAUCCAGCAUAGAAAGAAACAUAUAGCAUAAGUUGUUAAUAAAGAAAUCCAUCAAUCUCAAAGUAUACAAUUAUGAGUUUAAAAUCAUGAAUUUUCAGCAAGGAAAGUUGAAAUUCGUAGCACUCGAGUACCUUUGAAACUGGAAUUUUUUAGCAAGUAUCGUUCCUUUGAAAAAUCAUAACUUGAGUUAUAAAUGUUAAAAAAACAUAUAACUUGCCCCAUUAAAAAUUAGACUUGAAGUACUAACAAUCUUUCAAAGACACCUCAAAGAGAUUAAGUUCAUAAAUUGGUCCAAAUUGAGCCGCAAUUUACUACAACAUUCCAGUUUUUACUUGUGCAGAGUAGAAUUUUCAGUCAAAUUUACCAAUUUUCUGGUGCAUAUAUAAAUGGACCACAGCUCAAAUUUUAUACCAUGGAAAGCUCUCUGAGUCUAGUUUCAAACACAAUUGAUGGCACUCAAAUUUGAUUUUUUUACACUGAGUUAUGAUCAUUUUACUAAAACUGUCCAAAGGUGACUGUCACCUGAAGUUCUAAGCUUUAACUUGUUUGAAAAUACUAAAUACAUAACAUGUAAUAUAUCAAACAUAAAAUGAAACAAUUAGCAAAAAUCUGUUUCUGGUGCGUACCUAUUUUAGCCAAACAUUUCACCAAAAACUUCACAAAAUAUGUCAUCAACUACCACAAUAAAUCUGUCAUUAGCUAAGCAGAAUUUCCAGCAAGAAAAUUUGAAACUUUUCUUCACCAAAACUCACUCUUUUCUGGCCAACCUCAACUUAGAUCCUUAAAGCUUAAAAAAACAUGGAAGAAGGAAGGAUUUACAGCCCUUUUUACCUCUUUUCCCUCAAGAAAUUGAAGUUGGAAAUUGAAGAAUCAAGGCUGGUAGCUCUCCAAUCUUUUCCUCUCUCUCGGGGCUGCAACAACAAGGAUGAAGCGAAGUUUCUCCAAUCUUUCUCAAGCACUUUCCCCUUGGUUGUGAAAUUGGUCAUGGAUGAAAUCCCUCAAGCUCCCCUCAAGUUUCCCCCUCGGUUUCAAGACUUAGAAAAGUAACAAAACUGCUUACUCACCACUCAAUUUCUCGGUUGGAACAAGCUUGGAAUGUUGGAGCUUUUCUCUUCUUGAUUUGUUGGGAAAAGAUGGAAGGAGGUAAGGGCUACUCUUUUAUGCUUCUCAAGUUUCUCAAUUUUCCAGCUCAAGGAGGAGAAUUUUUUCAAGCUUUCUCCACUCUUUCUCGGCUCUCCUCUAGGGAAACAAGAGGAACAAGAAAACAAGGAAAGAAAGGCUGGAUUUGGGCCCUCUUGGUUGCAAGA
rnacentral:lncRNA from 1 species